AACGUAGGACGCAAGCGUUAUCCGGAGUUACUGGGCGUAAAGCGCGGGCAGGCGGUCUUGCCAGUCUGAUGUGAAAUCUCUCAGCUCAACUGGGAGCAGCCAUUGGAAACUACAAGACUGGAGUCUGACAGAGGUAGGCGGAAUUCCGGGUGGAGUGGUGAGAUGCGUAGAGAUCCGGAGGAACACCAGAGGCGAAGGCGGCCUACUGGGUCAGUACUGACGCUGAGCCGCGAAAGCUAGGGGAGCAAACAGG
rnacentral:rRNA from 1 species